rnacentral:rRNA from 1 species
UGGGAAUAUUGGACAAUGGGCGCAAGCCUGAUCCAGCCAUGCCGCGUGAGUGAUGACGGCCUUAGGGUUGUAAAGCUCUUUCGCACGCGACGAUAAUGACGGUAGCGUGAGAAGAAGCCCCGGCUAACUUCGUGCCAGCAGCCGCGGUAAUACGAAGGGGGCUAGCGUUGUUCGGAAUCACUGGGCGUAAAGGGCGCGUAGGCGGCUUUGUAAGUCGGGGGUGAAAGCCUGUGGCUCAAACCACAGAAUUGCCUUCGAUACUGCAUGGCUUGAGACCGGAAGAGGUAAGUGGAACUGCGAGUGUAGAGGUGAAAUUCGUAGAUAUUCGCAAGAAACACCAGUGGCGAAGGCGGCUUACUGGUCCGGUUCUGACGCUGAGGCGCGAAAAGCGUGGGGAGCAAAACAGGAUUAGAUACCCUGGUAGUCCACGCCGUAAAACGAUGAAUGCCAGCCGUUGGACAGCUUGCUGUUCAGUGGCGCAGCUAACGCUUUAAGCAUUCCGCCUGGGGAGUACGGUCGCAAAGAUUAAAAACUC